rnacentral:rRNA from 1 species
GGAUGCGAUCAUACCAGCACUAAGCACCGGAUCCCAUCAGAACUCCGCAGUUAAGCGUGCUUGGGCGAGAGUAGUACUAGGAUGGGUGACCUCCUGGGAAGUCCUCGUGUUGCAUCCC